rnacentral:rRNA from 1 species
UACGAAGGGGACUAGCGUUGCUCGGAAUCACUGGGCGUAAAGGGUGCGUAGGCGGGUCUUUAAGUCAGGGGUGAAAUCCUGGAGCUCAACUCCAGAACUGCCUUUGAUACUGGCAAUCUCGAGUCCGGAAGAGGUGAGUGGAAUUCCUAGUGUAGAGGUGAAAUUCGUAGAUAUUAGGAAGAACACCAGUGGCGAAGGCGGCUCACUGGUCCGGUACUGACGCUGAGGUGCGAAAGCGUGGGGAGCAAACAGG